rnacentral:piRNA from 1 species
UGCUUGCUAUUUUGGGUUCGAGGUC